rnacentral:rRNA from 1 species
UACGAAGGGGGCUAGCGUUGCUCGGAAUGACUGGGCGUAAAGGGCGCGUAGGCGGUUUAUGCAGUCGGGCGUGAAAGCCCCGGGCUCAACCUGGGAGGUGCGCUUGAUACUCGAGGGCUUGAGUGCGGGAGAGGAGAGUGGAAUUCCCAGUGUAGAGGUGAAAUUCGUAGAUAUUGGGAAGAACACCGGUGGCGAAGGCGGCUCUCUGGACCGUAACUGACGCUGAGGCGCGAAAGCGUGGGGAGCAAACAGG